GGAAAAUAGAAUCUCACAGAUCUUUCAACGCCGGGAGCUCUGGUAACCGAAGAGUCUUCUCUGUCAGAUAAUUAUUCCGCAAGUUUCUGUAACAUACAAAAAAAGAUUUGUUUUCGUAGAAGGAUUUAAAUAAAUUUAGCGAACAUAAUGAGGUGCAGUGUUAGUGCUAUUUACUAGAGGCAUCAUAUCUUUACAUAUAUUCAUUUUUGUCACUGUUGCUACAUUCAGCCCGAGUGAAAAGGGAUUUACUGCCUGCAAAGUCUGAAAAAUCAGCUGUUACGAUGGAAUUAUUAUCUGCCAGGAGUGUCUCGAGGGAAGAUAAUCCUCUAAAAUGUCCAGGACGAAUUUCCUUGAUGGAGUUAUUGGUGAGAAUCCUGGAGGCAGCCGUCUAGUCGAUGGUCUCGAGUAUCUGUGCCGUACGCGCAAAUUCGUAGAGCCCCUUGAUACCGUCUCUGUCGACAUGUAUAUCUGUGCAUGCGGACCCCAAAACCUCCCAUCUGACUUCAUCGAGUCCACUGCAUCUUGUGCAUAGGUGAUGACGAUUCUCCUCGUUGUUGUUGUUAAUAUCGUAUUUUACGAUUAGAUUUUUCUGUGUGUACCUCUAUAAAUAAAGUACUCUAAAUACUUUAUUUAUUUAUAAAUAAACGAAUAAAUAAAUAAAUAAUGUACUCACAGCCAAUACAGUCUUGACUGUCUCAAAAAAGCUCCUUCUCUCAAAUAUUCAAUUCCAUUCGAAAUGAGAAAUCUGAUAAAACCGAAUAUAUUUAUAUUUCAUUAAUUAGUUAGACUUUCUCUCGUUUCAAGUCCCAAAACUUUUACCAAACUAAUCUAUCAAAUUGAUCAAAUUCACUGAAACAGUUUUUUAGAUUUUUAUUGAAAUGUCAAUUAUUUCUUUUCCACAUUUUUUAAA